AUACGGAGGGUGCAAGCGUUGUUCGGAAUCACUGGGCGUAAAGGGCGCGCAGGCGGUUUGGUAAGUCAGAUGCGAAAGCCCAUGGCUCAACCAUGGAAGUGCAUUUGAAACUGUCAGACUUGAGUACUAGAGGGGAAAGUGGAAUUCCCGGUGUGGAGGUGAAAUUCGUAGAUAUCGGGAGGAAUACCGGUGGCGAAGGCGACUUUCUGGCUAGAUACUGACGCUGAGGCGCGAAAGCGUGGGGAGCAAACAGGAUUAGAAACCCCUGUAGUCC
rnacentral:rRNA from 1 species